CACCAGUCGGGGAGCCAGCGGUGCCCUGUAACCUGCAAUCCGCUACAGCAGGGAUUGAUUCCCGAUUGAGGACAGUUCGGUGUGCCGUCAGCACGCAGUAAGCGGCGUUGAAGCUCCGAUCCCGCGCAACGUAUUCCCGUGAACCAUGUCAGGCGGGGAACCGAGCAGCAUUAAGCGGGCUCAUACGUGUGCCGCGGGACCAUCGGAGCCGAGCUGGCUGCCGCGAAAGCGGGUGUGCCGGCCGUUCGAUUGAGGGUGU
rnacentral:SRP_RNA from 1 species